ensembl:snRNA U2 U2 spliceosomal RNA
AUCGCUUCUCGGCCUUUUGGCUAAGAUCAAGUGUAAAAUGAAUAUCAGAUGGGUGUGUAAUAGCUAUGUACUUAAAAUGUUAUUCUUUGUUUUAAGAGCCUUACCCUCAAGAGUUCAUUUGGGGCUCUAUAGUUGCUAAUGAUACUUAUGAUAAAGAGUUGAUUUUAC